GAGUGAAUUAACGAUUUCUGUUUAUAUAUUGUGUAAAAUGCAAGUCAUUUCAAGUAACAAUUAAGUUGUUUUGGUAUACUCCCAUGCUUUUCCUCUUGGUUCUGCUUUAGAGAGUUAGGGUCUUGCAGUCAUUUUUAAACUCAUUUUUAGUUCUACCAUCCUCAUCCCAACUAUAUAUCGAUUUUAUUGAUAUAUAGGUUUCCUUCCCUUAGACAAAAACAUUUUAUAUUUGGAAGGAAUCUUGGAAGUUCAUUGCAGGAAUGAAGAAAUUGAAGCCAAGGUGAGCUAUAUUAAGUACCUGCUACAUGAAAGGCAUAAUGCUAGGUGCUUUGGGAGACCAAAAGAUGACUCAAACAUAUAAACAUUUUUUUUUUUCAGUUUCAGUUCUCUUUUUAGAUGUCACCUCCCAAAGAGUCUUUCUUAGAACACAGUAUCUGGAGUUGCCCUUUCCCACCAUUAUUCAUUAUCUCAGUAUCUUCCUUGUCAGCAUAGUUACUCUGUUAACUUUGCCCCUUUUGCGCUAGAUUGUAAAUUCCAAGUUUGUCUUGUUCAUAGUUGGAUCCAGGUUUAGCACAGUGCCUGACGAACAGUAGGUCUUUAAUUAACAUUUAUUGAAAGAUUGAUUAGAUAUAUGCAGAAAUAAUAUAUUACUUGAUCUUAAGUUUUAAGUUUAACCGAGUCUUAAAUUUUGUGAGCGCAGGUACAUACUGUAUUAGAAAUUAUGGCUGGGCGUGGUGGUUCACACUUCUAAUCCCAGCACUUUGGGAGGCUGAGGCAGGCAGAUCGCCUGAGCUCAGGAAUUGAAGACCAGCCUAGACAACAUGGUGAAACCCCAUCUCUACAAAAAAAUACAAAAAUUAUCUGGGUGUGAUGCCACAAACCUGUAGUCCCAGCUACUUGGGGGGGCUGAGGCAAGAGAAUCUCUUGAGCCCAGGGGGUGGAGGCGGCAGUGAACCAUGUUCAUGCCACUGCACUCCAGUCUGUGUGACAAAGCGAGACCCCGUCUCAGAAAAAAAAGAAGGAAAAAAAAAGAAAUUAUGGAUGUUUGGAGUCAAAAGAGAUUCUCCUGCCUGGGUGCGCUCUUGCAAAAAUGUCCUUCUCUUGCCAGAAAGAAGGGCAUUUAAAAAGUCAGGCAAGGGAAUAGGGAGUUAUUGUUAAUGGGUACCAAAUUUCAGUUUGGGAAGGUGAAAGAAUUCUGGAAAUGAAUGUGAUGAUUGCACAAUUAAUGUACUUAAUACCACUGAAAUGUAUACUUAAAAGUUAUUAAAAUGGUAAAAUUUAUGUAUAUUUCACCACAGUUGAAAAAAAAAGCCAAGUAAUACAAGUAGAAGUAAUUGUUAUUAAACUUUUUAGUUUAUUUUUAAAUUGUUUUUACAAACUUUGGGGAUUUUAGAGAUGUGUUCCUUGAGUUUGAUUUUUUUCCCCUGUCAUCUCUCAAUUUAGUUUCCUUUCUUUGGCCAGGAAGAGUAUUAAAAACAUUAAAUUUGGCUUGGCGUGGUGGCUCACGCCUGUA
rnacentral:lncRNA from 1 species